rnacentral:rRNA from 1 species
AGAGUUUGAUCAUGGCUCAGGAUGAACGCUGGCGGCGUGCCUAACACAUGCAAGUCGAGCGUGAACCCUUAGAAUGAAACUUCGGUCGAAUGAAGAGGGGGAAAGCGGCGGACGGGUGAGUAACGCGUAGGCAACCUGCCCCGUACAGAGGGAUAGCCUCGGGAAACCGGGAUUAAAACCUCAUAAUACCAUGGUAUCACAUGAUGCAAUGGUCAAAGAUUUAUCGGUAUGGGAUGGGCCUGCGUCUGAUUAGCUGGUUGGUGGGGUAACGGCCUACCAAGGCAACGAUCAGUAGCCGACCUGAGAGGGUAAUCGGCCACAUUGGAACUGAGACACGGUCCAAACUCCUACGGGAGGCAGCAGUGGGGAAUAUUGCACAAUGGGCGAAAGCCUGAUGCAGCAACGCCGCGUGAGCGAAGAAGGCCUUUGGGUCGUAAAGCUCUGUCGGGAAGGAAGAUAAUGACGGUACUUCCCGAGGAAGCCCCGGCUAACUACGUGCCAGCAGCCGCGGUAAUACGUAGGGGGCGAGCGUUAUCCGGAAUUAUUGGGCGUAAAGAGUGCGUAGGUGGUUGUUUAAGCGUGGGGUGAAAGGCAAUGGCUUAACCAU